CUUGAUGAUAGGAAUGACGACACAUGUUGUGAUUGAAAACCGUAGUUUACACGUGGGAAUAGCCUACCUUGUUGUGUCUACCGUGGAGAUCACUGUAGAAAAUUUCCUGACCAUUUCUUCCUGAUCAUUGGUAGAGAAUACUUAUCGUUCUUCAUCAUGCAGCAUCGUAAAAUGUUACAAAAAUCGAUUCAAUAUCGGGUAAUAAUCAAAAGAUGCAAUUAACGAAGAGAAGUCGAUCAAUACAGAUACGCCAGUGUGAUACUAAAUGCGAGAUUUUCCGAUCAAUGUUAUCCCGAGUGAUAACGGGCUUUUUAUUGUCGAAAAUAAGUAUAGUCAUUUUGAUCAUUACGCGAGUAACUGACACUGAAGAAGGCUACAAUUGGUGGUCGAAACACGCAUAUCUGUCAAAAGAUAACGCAAUUUGGGCGGAAUGAAGAGGUACUCAAUAUACUUUUAGAUUCUCUUUGAACAUUUUUGUUUAUUUUACAAAUUGAAAUUAUAAGUUGAUUACAUCCCGCAUAGAAAACUACUAUUCUCUAAAAUAGACAAAUAUUUCCUGAACGUAAUGCAAAUGGUUACCUAUUUCAAUUAUGGUCCUCAUGCAUUCUCCCGAUUACGGUAAAACCACACUCAGACAUCAAGUACGCCUGUUACAUUAUCGAUUAUAGUUUACAAAUAUUCUGGUAAGGUAUCCAAACAUUUUGAAAUGUAUCCACCAUUUAACACUAUUUUCAAACUACAUCAUCUGUGGUUUACUGCUGAGCAGCUGCUUUUAAUCGCCUCGCAUUUUGUCGCAAUGUUAAACUCCAGAAAAGUAUUUAUCGCCAAUUAACUGUUCUAAACAUAAUCUAGGAUAGUGUACCGCUCAAUACAAUCGCAGUAUUGCCAAAACAAAUAUCAACACCCGACAGUUUCGGAAACAAAAGAUCGACAUAUCCCGGCACCAUCCAUGACCACCAGCAUCGGAUGCAGGAAUGGAGAGCGAUUACACGGGGUAAUAUUACGAAAAGUACAAUCUGAAGCAGUAUCAGUAGCGGCUGUGAAUAUUCAAUCCGCCGAUGCGGUUCCAGAAAAGACCGCAAGAACGAAUAUGUGUCCCAGCAUUAGCUCAACAUCCCGUUUUCAAUAAUGAUUCAAGUUCAAGCCAUUUAUUACUUUAUAAUUUUCUAAAUAAAUCAAGACAAAUCCCAAUGUCAACAAAUGUUUCUUGUUAUUGUAGAAUCAAACUCCAACUAUAGUUUCAACUCACCGAAUGUGUAAUUUUCAACCUUACUAGAUAUGUUUCUUUUGCUGUUCUCAUUCAAAAUGUAUAUGAGAAAUGACGAGUCUUGGAACGGUAAACAUUCUUAACGACCCGUUGUUCAUAUGGUUG